CCAGCUAUCACCAUAAACUUGUGCAGCAGCCGAGAGCAAGAUUGAUCUUAGAGCAGCAUGGGCAUUUUAACAGGUAAUGAGCUACUGUUUCGCAGCCAGCACCACAAAUACAGUCGGGUGUUAAAGUACGAUUUAUUCUAAAUAGAUAGUAGUUCAACGCACAACAGUUUAAACGCAAACGUGCAUGCAAUACUGAAGUAUAUCUAUCAAUGGAAUGAUCAAAAUAGCUAUGAUUGCGGUCACAUGAAAUAUCAAAAAAUUUAAGAAUAGCUUUUUUGAAUAAAUUAAUAGAUGGCAAGCUACGAACUGAGUACUCAACCGAAUUCCAUAACAUAGUAGCCGAAGGAAAAAAAGGAUUUUUUAAAUCUUUCAGUUCUAGCAAAAAACAAAGAAAUAUUAGAUGACUGCCUUAAUGAUAAACCAGACCUUUGUUCAACCGUCUGGGGCAAUAAUUUUGACAAGUAUUCUGGAACAUGAUUAUUUACUAUUUUAAAAUAUAAAAUAAGUUUGUGAAUCUGGCGUCUAGUUUUCAUAUCUUCCCAAGCCAGAUCUUCCAAUACUCUUGACCUACUAGUACCCCUCAUAGCACCCGUGACCACCAUGGCUGACUGAUAUUGUACAUGCUCAAUUAAAUCACUUUCAUUGUCAGAACACCCAUCCCAUAAUACAUCGGCAUAUUCUAACAAUGGUCUAAUAACACAUUUGUACAAGUUUGACAAGGUUUUCCGAUUUAACUUAAACUUUAAACCUUUAAGAAGAUUCACCCUUUUGGAAGCUUUCUCGUGUAUAUUAAUAAUAUGCGCUGUCCAAGUUAAAUUGGAUGAAAGUGUUACUCCUAGGUGUUUAUGAUUAAAAACUUCUUGAAUUUCAUUAUUAUUAAAAAAUAGGGGAGGAUGAUUUGGCCUAAUUCGUUUGACAGAGAAUAUCAUUGAUUUGGUCUUGUCUGGAUUGAUAGUAACAAGCCAAUCUUUGGUCCAUGCUUUAAUGCAUUCGAGAUCAUGGUUUAAUCGAUCAGCUGUAAGACAGGGAUCAUCUACUAUUUCCAAAAGAGAAGUAUCGUCAGCAUAUAAAAAAUUAUUACUUCGGAGGUCGCGAGUUAUGUUGUUAAUAUAAAUCAAAAACAACAAAGGACCCAAAACAGAGCCCUGAGGGACACCCGAAUCAAUUUCUUUCCAGUCAGAUGACUGACCGUCUAUUAAGACACACUGUUUUCUCUCCGUUAAGUAACUUUUAAUCCAUUUGAGAAGAGGAUCUCUCACUCCUAAGCGCUCAAGCUUGAAGAGGAGUCCUUUGUGCCAGACCUUAUCAAAAGCUUUACUAAUAUCCAGGAAAACCAUUCUCACUUCUUUACCAAGCUCUAAAGCCUCAUGAAUUUUAUGAACUAUGAAAAUAAGUUGAUUAACAGUAGAAUCACCAGGACGAAAUCCAGACUGAAACGGGUUUAGAAAAUUUAUUUCGAGUAAAAAAUUAUAAAGUCUGACGAAAACAAUUUUUUCACAAAUUUUAGAUAAUGAUGGCAGCAAUGAAAUAGGACGAUAGUUCUCUUUUGAUUGACGAUCGUCUUUUUUAAAAAUAGGUACAACAUUUGCCAAUUUCCACUUCAAAGGGAAAACACCCACAGAAAGUGAUUGAUUAAUAAAUCGAGAAAAAGAACAUGCAAUAUUAUUAGCGCUUGCCUUAAGCAAUGCAUUUCCAACACCAUCGGCACCACAAGCUUUCGAAGUAUCAACAUUUUGCAACAUUUUUUUAACUUCGUACUCUGAAGUUGAGAUAUUUGAUAAUGUUAUGCAACUUUGAAAAACCUCUAGAUUAGGCGAUUAUUAGCAAGUGGGAACGACCAACAUGGCCGCCAUCUAUUCAAAAGGGGGUAACCGCUGGAAUAUUCCUGGCUUCAAUUUUACUAAAUGAGAUGCGCUAUCUAGUGUAUAUAAGAUAUCUAUGUUACGCACCAUAAAGGCAGAUUUCCGUUCAGUGCAAAAUGUCGUGCGAUCGAUAUUUUGUGAUCACUUUCUUUUGAAAUACAAGCAAUCACACGCAACGGAUCAGGUUGACUGAACGCAUUUCAAAAGAAAGUGAUCGCAAACAGUUGAUCUCGCGAUAUUUUGCACUGAAUGGAAAUCCGCGGCCUUAAGUUUCUGAGGCAUGCAACAUGUACGCACGGCAUACCUAUUUUUAUUAUUUUAAACAAAUUAUAAAAAUGAACUAAUUUAUUCAAAGUGCAUUAAUUUUAUAACAGAUGUCUGGGGCUGUGAUAAAAGUCUAUUUUACUAUAUGGUGACGGAUGCCUAUAUUUUGCGGGAUACCGGUAUCUGCUUCCGACACAUCCUUACUUAUUACUAGCUCUGUUUCUUUAGGAACUUUUCACAGGAUGCUUCUUUAAAUCUUACCAUUGAACCAAGGAAUGUCAACACUACAAGAUGAAAGUCUGCACGAUGCUUUUAAAAAAGGGGAUCUUCGCAAAGUACAAGAGAUCUUGCAAAAAGACUCGGAUAUCAUCAACAGGUUGAAUCAACGUGGCGGUCUCUUGGGCAACACUCCAUUGCACGACGCUGCAUAUCACGGUCAUGUUGAUAUCUUACAACUGUUGCUUAACCAUGGUGCCAGUGUGAACGCGGUGGACAAUGAUGGUGAUACACCAUUGCACAAAGCUGCAUGUGAAGGUCAUGUUGAUAUCUUACAACUGUUGCUUAACCAUGGUGCCAGUGUGAACGCGGUGGACAAUGUUGGUAAUACUCCAUUGCAGCAAGCUGCAUAUCACGGUCAUGUUGAUAUCUUACAAAUGUUGCUUAACCAUGGUGCCAGUGUGAACGCGGUGAACAAGGGUGGUGAUACACCAUUGUACGAAGCUGCAUCUCGCGGUCAUGUUGAUAUCUUACAACUGUUGCUUAACCAUGGUGGCAGUGUGAACGCGGUGAACAAUGAUGGUGAUACACCAUUGUACGAAGCUGCAUUUAAAAGUCAUGUUGAUAUCUUACAAAUGUUGCUUAACCAUGGUGCCAGUGUGAACGCGGUGAACAAUGUUGGUCAUACACCAUUGCACGAAGCUGCAGAUGAAGGUCAUGUUGAUAUCUUACAACUGUUGCUUAACCAUGGUGCCAGUGUGAACGCGGUGGAAAGUGGUGGUGAUACACCAUUGCACUACGCUGCACGUGAAGGUCAUGUUGAUAUCUUACAACUGUUGCUUAACCAUGGUGCCAGUGUGAACGCGGUGGAGAUCAUGGGUGAUACACCAUUGCACGACGCUGCAUCUCGCGGUCAUGUUGAUAUUUUACAAAUGUUGCUCAACCAUGGUGCCAGUGUGAACGCGGUGGACAACAUGGGUGAUACACCAUUGCACGACACUGCAUCUCAAGGUCAUGUUGAUAGCUUACAACUGUUGCUUAACCAUGGUGCCAGCGUGAACGCGGUGAACAAGCAGGGUCAUACACCAUUGCACAAAGCUGCAUCUCGGGCUCGUGUGAAAUGCAUUAAGGUUUGUUUCUCUCGUGAGAUAGUCAAUGUUCAGCAGCUCAGUUAAUCCUCGCAAUUUUUGGUAGAAAUAGGCAAAGAGAUAAUGCCGCUGAAAAUUGAAUAAACAAUAUCAGUUUUUUUGCAGGGACGGUGGAACGAUGUAUGUGUG